rnacentral:lncRNA from 1 species
AAAAGUGAAAAGGAACCUUCCCUGCUGCAGCUUUCUAACCUCUGUCUUCAGCACAGGAUUUUCUUCAGCUGGUUGCGUUUUCUCUGGGACCCUCAGUGUAUUUCUCUUCUACGUGCUUACCUGGUCUCCCCUUGAGCCAAGCAACAUUUCACGUGUGUCACAGCAUCUGCUGGCAGUGACUUCUGUGGGGGCCCUAAGCACCACCUCUGUGUGGGUGUUUUAAACUUCAGGAGCUUCUUCUGAGGUCUUUAAGCCUAGUAAUUUAAAAGAGAUGGUGAUCAUAGUCAAUCCUUCUCUGCCUUUUCCAUUCCAGGAAGAAGCUGGAAAGGCAUCAUGUCAUACAUGUUGUCCAUGCCCUGCAUGCAUCAACAAGCCCCGCAGCAACAUGGGAUCAGACUGCUGAGAAAACAAUCCAUGUAAAAGAGCAGUGAGAAGGUUGGCUGGGAUUCUCCAGCCAUGCUGCAGGAAUGUCAAUACCCAGCCUUGCACCUUGCUCAUCCUCACCCCAACCUGCUGAGUUGCCUCCUCAGCUUGGCCUCCACCCUGUCUCAUCACCAUGGGCCUGCCUGGUGAUCCCUGGGUGGUGGCUGACACCAGGUGUUGGAUGGCUUUAGAGCCUGGAUCCAUGGAUGAUGUGAGUGUCCAGGAGGUCUUCUGUGGCUUACAGACUCUGCUGGGAGGUGAAUGCUUUCAAAAUUAAAUCCUCUUUAGAAUUGCUGAAACCUUCAUGAGUAACAGUCAUCAUUUGCAUUAAAAGCUUUGCUUAUUGCCGAAGUUAUUUCAUAUUCCUUUUGAUUAGUGGCAGAGAAAUAUUAGACUUUGGAUAUAUAAUUCUUUCCUUAUCAUCAGCUUUCUGGGACAUCAGAAAGGAGACAAAAACAGUAAGGGCAGCUGUGCUCUCUGUGAAAUCCAGGGCUACCUGGAUGGUCUGAGGAAUGGCUCUAGUCAUUUAUUUUUCUAAAGCUGCUGGAAACUGCUGCACAGGAACCUAUGUCUGUUUUGUGAAAUGAACAGUUAUAUUUAUUACUGAGAAGGUCAAAAGGAAGGAGAAACUCGCUGAUGGUAUGCAGGCAUCCAGGUAGUGAGAAGCAGGGAGUGGAGAUUUCCACCAGUACUGGUGGAAAGACCAGAGCAGAGGCAGUCACAGCAACAUCUGAUUAAAAUCAGAACUGAUUAAAAUCAGAAGAAAGGACGAAUAAAACAAGAGCGGAUUGAAAGUACA